rnacentral:misc_RNA from 1 species
GAUGAAGAACGUAGCGAAAUGCGAUAAGUAAUGUGAAUUGCAGAAUUCAGUGAAUCAUCGAAUCUUUGAACGCACAUUGCGCCCUCUGGUAUUCCGGGGGGCAUGCCUGUUCGAGCGUCAUUAUAACCACUCAAGCUCUCGCUUGGUAUUGGAGCUCGCGAUCUCGCGGCUCCUAAAAUCAGUGGCGGUGCCUGUCGGCUCUACGCGUAGUAAUACUCCUCGCGAUUGAGUCCGGUAGGUUUACUUGCCAGCAACCCCCAAUUUUUACAGGUUGACCUCGGAUCAGGUAGGGAUACCCGCUGAACUUAAGCAUAUCAAUAAGCGGAGGA